rnacentral:rRNA from 1 species
GAUGAACGCUGGCGGCGUGCCUAAUACAUGCAAGUCGAGCGAACGGACGAGAAGCUUGCUUCUCUGAUGUUAGCGGCGGACGGGUGAGUAACACGUGGAUAACCUACCUAUAAGACUGGGAUAACUUCGGGAAACCGGAGCUAAUACCGGAUAAUAUUUUGAACCGCAUGGUUCAAAAGUGAAAGACGGUCUUGCUGUCACUUAUAGAUGGAUCCGCGCUGCAUUAGCUAGUUGGUAAGGUAACGGCUUACCAAGGCAACGAUGCAUAGCCGACCUGAGAGGGUGAUCGGCCACACUGGAACUGAGACACGGUCCAGACUACUACGGGAGGCAGCAGUAGGGAAUCUUCCGCAAUGGGCGAAAGCCUGACGGAGCAACGCCGCGUGAGUGAUGAAGGUCUUCGGAUCGUAAAACUCUGUUAUUAGGGAAGAACAUAUGUGUAAGUAACUGUGCACAUCUUGACGGUACCUAAUCAGAAAGCCACGGCUAACUACGUG